UUCCCUGUGGUCCAGUACUUAAGACACUGCACUUCCGCUGCAGGGGGCACAGGUUCAAUUCCUAGUUGGGGAA
rnacentral:tRNA from 1 species